CCUUCGGGAUUAGUGGCGGACGGGUGAGUAACACGUGGGAACGUGCCUUUUGGUUCGGAAUAACUCAGGGAAACCUGUGCUAAUACCGGAUGUGCCCUUCGGGGGAAAGAUUUAUCGCCAUUAGAGCGGCCCGCGUCUGAUUAGCUUGUUGGUGAGGUAAAGGCUCACCAAGGCGACGAUCAGUAGCUGGUCUGAGAGGAUGAUCAGCCACACUGGGACUGAGACACGGCCCAGACUCCUACGGGAGGCAGCAGUGGGGAAUCUUGCGCAAUGGGCGAAAGCCUGACGCAGCCAUGCCGCGUGAAUGAUGAAGGUCUUAGGA
rnacentral:rRNA from 1 species